AUACGGGGGGUGCAAGCGUUAUUCGGAUUUAUUGGGCGUAAAGAGCGCGUAGGCGGCUUGGUAAGUCAGAUGUGAAAGCCCGGGGCUCAACCCCGGAAGUGCAUUUGAAACUAUCAGGCUUGAGUAUGGGGGAGGGAAGUGGAAUUCCUGGUGUAGAGGUGAAAUUCGUAGAUAUCAGGAGGAACACCGGUGGCGAAGGCGACUUCCUGGACCAAUACUGACGCUGAGGCGCGAAGGCGUGGGGAGCAAACAGGAUUAGAAACCCCAGUAGUCC
rnacentral:rRNA from 1 species